AAUGGGUCAGCGACUUAUAUUCUGUAGCAAGGUUAACCGAAUAGGGGAGCCGAAGGGAAACCGAGUCUUAACUGGGCGUUAAGUUGCAGGGUAUAGACCCGAAACCCGGUGAUCUAGCCAUGGGCAGGUUGAAGGUUGGGUAACACUAACUGGAGGACCGAACCGACUAAUGUUGAAAAAUUAGCGGAUGACUUGUGGCUGGGGGUGAAAGGCCAAUCAAACCGGGAGAUAGCUGGUUCUCCCCGAAAGCUAUUUAGGUAGCGCCUCGUGAAUUCAUCUCCGGGGGUAGAGCACUGUUUCGGCAAGGGGGUCAUCCCGACUUACCAACCCGAUGCAAACUGCGAAUACCGGAGAAUGUUAUCACGGGAGACACACGGCGGGUGCUAACGUC
rnacentral:rRNA from 1 species